UAUUUGUAUUAUUUUUCUAUUUAUUAUUAUUAUUAUUUUCUUUUCUAGCUUUCAGGUGUCCCCCACUACCAUCCUCUCCGCCUCAGCCCUUUCGAGAAUAAUAAGAUUCUUUCUGCCCUUACUCCAACCCCUUGCUUCCGAUCGCUACCAUGGCGGCGGCCAUGGAGAGCUUCUCGAUUCGAGAGUACGCGGCGAGGAUGAGGAACGUCGACUACGAGAGGUGCUGGCCGUUCGCCGAGGAGAGAGCAGAGCGGUCUCUCCCUCCCAUGCCGGUUAGGAAGUUCCGGUGGUGGGUGGAGGAGCUACGGGCGGUGCCAUCCGGCGGCAAGAAGGACGGAGAGGCCGACGAUGUGGUCGAACCGGAAGAGAAAGCUGCCGUGGACGUUGCUACCGGGGUACCAGUUGUCGAAUCCACCGGUGUUGGCCGGGCGGGAGGCGGGAAUGUUCCGGCGGAGCAGAGGCAGGCGAAGAAUCUUCCCUCCAAGCCGAAGCCGAGAACGCCCAAGAAAAGGUCGAUCCUCGAGCUUUUCGCGGUGGCCCCGCCGGUCCGUGGCGGCGUGCAAGAACAAGACCUCCGGGAUGGGGCCGGCGGCAAACUGCAACCGCAAGGAGAGGAAGCAGCCGGUGCGAAGACCAAUUUGGGGGUUGAGGACGGUGGGGUUUUGGUCGAGAUGCGAAAAAGAAAGAAGCGGGUUAAAGACGGUGAGAAGAUGCCGAGGGAAAAGAUUGGGGCAAACAAAAAGUGGAAGACCAAGGCGAAGAUGACGAAUAAAAAGAAGAAGCUCAAUGUGGAGAUCCGUGCUGCGAAAAAGGAGAACUGUAAGCUCAAAAUGUCGUCUCUAGUUGAUAUGAGCAAAAUCCUCAAGAGCAAAAGGUACGAGAAGAAGUUUGGAAAGAUGCAUAAUAGGCUUGUUUGUAACCAGGCAAAGCCAGCAACAAUCAGAACUUUGCUAAAGAAACAUAUAUUCAGAUUUGUUCAGACGUCGAAACUGAUAUCCAGGAACCAGGAGGCAGCAAGGGCACCUCCUGUACAUAGUAUUUUCAAGAAACAAAAACGAGGCACUUCCACCAAGAAGAGAAAGGCAAUAGAAAAUAAAAAGGGCAGUGAUCUUGUAGAACAUUGUUGUGAAUCAGCCAAACAACUGAGUUUCUCUGGUAAGAAUGGUAAACUUGUGCAUGGCAGAAGUUGUUUGCCUUUAAAGCUGCCACACUUGCAAACCCUUUGCAAAAUGGUUUCUGAUGUCUUGGCUGCAUCUUCAACUAUGGAUAAUUUGAAUAAAUGUCCAUCUGUCACUGAGGGAGCUCACUGGAACUUGAAUGACACAGAAGGUCAGCUGAACUUAAAUGACAAUGGAGUUGUUGCAAGUAAUGGGGAGACAAGUGAAACUUCCUCAGAAGAGCAACUCGAUGGUACUUUUGACCAUCCUACUCCUUCGAACUCGUCAGUAACAAAGAGAUCCCCUUUGGCUGAACUCGUGGACUUAAACCAUCCAGUGAAGGAUCAUGUUGAUUUAAAUGGUGUUGGUUUGGAUGGAUCCACUAUGACACCUACUCCCAUGUACUCAGGUGACCUGAAGGUUCCUGGGCCCAUGAAUAAGUGUGCGCUUGCUUCAGAUCCUGGAACCUCUCAAAUACACAGUUUUUCUCCUAUAUUCAAUCAUACAAACCAUCUGCAUAAUCCCGGAAAUGCUGUUUCAGUUUCUGAUACAAAAAGUGCACUGAGCCUUACCAGAAAACAAGACCAGCACCAUUGGGUUUCUUGUCUGGAUCAAAGCUACUUGGAUUCAAUUUACAUGCAAACUCGUAUGAUGGAUCCAAGAAACAACACAUGUAUUGGCUUUCCAGAAUAUCGAUCAAUGUAUCAUAUACCGAAAGAUAUGUUAAUUAGCAAUCAUUCUUCGGUUGGAUCAAAAGCUAUUGUGGAGCCAUCGCCAGGGCUGGGGCCUGUUUGGAGGGUCAAUGACACCGAGGAGGGUUUUAUUGGAUUGCCUCUUAAUUCACAGGGAGAGCUUAUCGAAUUGAACCCAGGCACGAGGUAUGGAUUUUGUGAGGUCGAUGAAAUGCCAAACUCAGCCUUGAAUUCACUUCAGAUUCUUCCAUCUUCCACUCAUGUUCAGCCCCAGUCUAGCCAUGUUAGGAUGAAAGGCAAAUAUCCGUUUGUGUCAUCAUACCAUGACGAUGAACAAAAUUGGUUCUUGAAACAGCACUAUCCUGCCAGAAAACUAGUGAUAUCUGAAUCGGGUUCUGUUGCAUUGCAAGGUGUUGAGAAAGUGAGGUGUCAAUCCCAUGACGGAAGACCUCAAUUGUACCACUGCGAUGCAAGACAAGUGGAAUUAUUUUGUUCUGGGUGCAAAGAUCAUUUGGUAACAGAAAAUUGCUUUGAUAGGAUGAGGCUUUAUUCAGAGAAGGAUAUGGAGCUAGGGUCUCGUCCUGCUAUCCAACCUACUAUGCGCUUGAUGGGUAAAAAUGUCACAGUUGGUAGCUGCAGCAAAGAACACCAAGGAUGUAAUGAUAAGGAUUGGACUGACAAGGAAAUGGUAACUACAAGCAACCCCACUAUAAGGGAGCAUGACAGACCUAUUUUGAAGCGGUGGCAUGAAGAGGAAUGCAUUAGGCAAGAAGAAUACGAGGCAUCAAGGAAUAUCCCUUUUAGUUCAUUGGACGUCCCUUCAGACAAUUGUCAUGCAUCAGCAGAUAAGCUUACAUCUAACCAUAUGCAUCAUGGUUUUGGACCUAACUGGAUGUUGAAUUAUGGAAAUCCUUCAAGUCGUGGAGAACAUGGUUUUCAUAUUGAUUUUUCUCAAAGUCCAGUUCCAUGCCAAUCUUUUCAGAACAGAGCAUCCCACUCUGCAGUCCAUAGUACCACACAAGCUCAAUCUGUUGAUAUGGGACGAAGUAAAACACUUCGGGCAUCCCACCCCCGAAACUUUUGCCCGCAUAUGCUUAUAAAUUCAACCCAUUGCAAGCACAGUCAAAAUGUGUCUUACGGUAUUCCAUCGACUACCCAUCCUUAUAUUAAUCAUGUGCCUGUCCAGACAUCAAGUGGUCAUUCUUUACGAAGAUUCCCCCAUUGGCUGUUAAAUGCAACCAAUCAGCAUCCUUUAGUUCCUUAUCAUCCAUCUGCUGCAUGUCAGUCCUGCAUGAUACCAGCAAAUAGAGGUUUCCCUCAUUCUUCUCCAUAUACAAAGAGUGUAAUAGCUUUCCCUUCAGGUAAUAGCAACAGUUCUCAAACUUAUGGCUCAUACACUCCCAUGUCUGUAGUUUACCCUUCUUCUACUGCAACCUUAACAAAUAAUUUCAGUUCAGCAUCCUCAACCUAUGGAGACAAUAGCAAAACCACAGAUGGCAUGCGAUUCAACUUUGCUCAUGUUAAGAGUCAGGAUCAUUCCAAAAGAUUUAGAAAAAGAUCUGCAGCCAAAGAUGACAAAAUUGUGGAAAGAGUGAAGAGGCCUAACCUCAAACUGCAAGAAGACUUAAAUGCUCCUACAUCAUUGAGAAGAGAAGGAUUGAAUGGAGACCAAAAAGAUAAUAUAAGAGAACCAGAAGUCAAUGUUUGUGUGAGUAGAACAGUAGAUGUCUGUCUUCCAGUUAUUGAUGAUGGGAGGGAUAGUGUGGCAAUUUCAGAUGGGUCCUUGCCCUUAAAAUCUAGUCAUCUGAGGCCAGGACCUGUCAAACUUAGUGCAGGAGCAAAGCAUAUACUGAGGCCCAAUGGAAGUAUAGAUCAGGAAAACUUCCGACCAAUUCACUCGACUGUACCUUUUACGCAAGAAGCUAGUGCUGCCAAAGAUGGUUCACAGGAGAAAGCAGCAAAAGUCUACAGGUUUUAGACUUGAAUUGGGGAUUCACUACCAGGCAAAGAGAUCUUGAUGACAUUUAAAACCAUGUAAGAUGGAACUUUCUUUGGCUAGCAAGGAUAUCUUUGAUGAUUGGAUCUUAAAUUCUCAAGAACAGUUAGCAAUAGCUGUUCCUUGCUGGUGCUGGUUUUAUAUAUCUACACAAACGGAUGGAGAAGCUCCCUUGGAUGUCAUAGGGCCACUGCACCUGGUAAUCUGAUGUCUACCGUCCUUAUCGGAGAGCUUGUGUGAGGAAGAAACUAUUGGCAAAGCUUAGAGUUGGCUCCUUUGUGUGGAGAACCGAAUCAUUCAAACCAAGUAAUGACUGAUUUCCUGAGAUGUUGAUGCGGUGUGCACAGGAGCAGAGAGGGGCGGCAUCAUCGGUGGGAUGCGCUUUGUGGAUCCGGUCGGGGCGUUUAUUUGUCACUUAUGUGGAGACAUGAAUCAUUUCUGUUUGUUUUCAGAUAUUAAGGAAGGAGGAGGGGUUGUUUAGGAACAAGGUAGAGCGAGAAUGUGCUUUCUAUGCUUUGGUUGCUGUUCUUUCAUUGUGUAUCCUUGUUAGUUUACGAAUUACCAAUUCUCCCUAUGAGCAGAGGGAAAAGAGUUGGUUUCAUUCAUGAG